CCAAUCAGUAAGAUCUAGCCAUAAACCUAGAAGGUAGUA
rnacentral:tRNA from 1 species